ACGCUCGACACCUACGGGAGCAGCAGUGGGGAAUAUUGGGCAAUGGGCGAAAGCCUGACCCAGCAACGCCGCGUGAGGGAAGAAGGUUUUCGGAUUGUAAACCUCUGUCCUCAGGGACGAAGGACGUGACGGUACCUGAGGAGGGAAGCCCCCGGCUAACUACGUGCCAGCAGCCGCGGUAAUCUGAGGCGGGCGUGGACGAAGGC
rnacentral:rRNA from 1 species